GGUUCCGUAGUGUAGUGGAGCAAUACGUUCGCUUCACACGCAGCGUCUCCGGUUCGAUCCGGACGGAACCA